GAAGAAGCUUCGAUUUAAUGGCUUUCUCGGUCAUAUGAUUUUAAGACUAACAGUUUGAUCGUAUCUUAAUGGAAAAAUCUAUACUACAGAGUUUUACCUAUCCUAUAGGCGGGACACUUUAUACGACACCCUGUAUAGUUAUGCGUGUUUAAAACAGGUCUUUGUAAAUGCAAAGGAACUGUAAAUGGUGCCAAAUAUGGCCAGUGUCACACGGAUGUUGUCACUGAUACAAAAUUCAAUUAUAUCUACUCAAACGAAUACAAUGGGUUGUUAAUUUGAUAAAAAAGUAAUAUUUUUAUUGAAUGUAGUCUC